AUGGGACCCACUGCUCUGGAGAAAGCCUUUCAUCUGUACUCUACCAUUUUGCAAGCCCCAGGUGAAAGGUCGUUGGCCCCUGGAGAAGGCAGUGGUGUUCAAACAGGAGAAGGUGCCAUUGGUAGGUUCUAUCAGCAGCCAUUUUAUGACAGCUUGCCUGCGUGCCGGGUAAGAUUUAUAACCUUUGGAACAAGAUCUAAAGCCAAAUGCUAUAGCUGUUUCAAUCACCAAUUAUUAAAUCCUAGUACAGCAUGGCAUAUCACCAAGGAGAGCCCAAGGGCGCAGUAAUGGCACUUUCUGGGGGCUGUUGGGAAGGAAAACAGGGAUUAACAAGUGAGGCAACAGGGACCUUCUGAGCUGAGACGCCCUGUCCACUGAGGGAACUCAGUGACCCUGGGAAGCAGCAUGCUGUAGUGACCGAGUCAGACAGGCUGUGUGACUGAGGAAAAAAACACAGAACAUCUUCGUGCCUCACUUUCCUCAUCUAUGAGGUGGGUAUUAUUGGGGUGCCUUCAGUCAGAAUGGGGGAAGUAUUUUCAGCUGCUCACUCAGGAUUAGGGGGUCUGAACUCAUGACCACUCCAGGAAUCAGCAAGGCAAAAGCCCUCCAGCCUGCAUUCGCUCCCCUAUUAUUUUAGGUCGCAGAGUGCCCGCCUCUUCUCUGACCCAGCACACCCCUCCCCUUUCUGCUGCUUGCCUGUAGCCUCAAUAUAAUGUGAGAGGUUUGUCUGCUGAGCUUCUGUUGCCAAAUAUGGCAAAGAGGUGCCUAGUGAAGCCGGGGACCUUACAACAUCAGAACAUCCCAGGAGCUCAUAGGGGAGUGUACAGGUUGCUGAGGCGAAGGGCAAGUUUGCUUUGGGGGCUGUGCUGGGGGAUGGACGGAGGGGCGACAGUGUGUAAAGCUUGCUCGGUUUUCUGUUUUGUUUUUUCCUUCUUUACCUCAUGUAAGUCAUGGUCAAAUAUGUAAGCCUUUGAGGCAGGUUUAAGGUUUAAUAUGGCUUCCUUUUGUAUGAGGCGAAGGCUUCACAAGAAUAAUGGAAUUCCAAGUUCGAGUUCAGCCAGCGCGGUGGCUCAUUGCUUUCUUUAAUUACUCCCGCGCCUCAAAGGGCCGCUCAGACUUCGAAGAGCUCUGACACUAAGAUUCACGGAUAACUGACCCCGUGAGGGUGUCUGGAGGAUUCAAUUAAAUGUGGCUGUACUUGUAAAAAGCCUAAACAAAGACGAUGCUCAUGGAGUGGGCUCUUCCUUCUGUGUACCCCUGGCCGGGGUCCGCCCUUCCCUCCCCUGUG
rnacentral:lncRNA from 1 species